UACGGAGGGUGCGAGCGUUGUCCGGAAUCACUGGGCGUAAAGGGCGCGUAGGCGGCGCGGAAAGUCGUCGGUGAAAGCUCGGGGCUCAACCCUGAGUCUGCCGGUGAUACUCCCGCGCUCGAGCUCACUAGAGGCAGAUGGAAUUCCGGGUGUAGCGGUGGAAUGCAUAGAGAUCCGGAAGAACACCGGUGGCGAAGGCGGUCUGCUGGGGUGAGGCUGACGCUGAUGCGCGACAGCGUGGGGAGCAAACAGG
rnacentral:rRNA from 1 species